rnacentral:rRNA from 1 species
AGCGAACGCUGGCGGCAGGCCUAACACAUGCAAGUCGAACGAACCCUUCGGGGUUAGUGGCGGACGGGUGAGUAACACGUGGGAACGUGCCUUUAGGUUCGGAAUAACUCAGGGAAACUUGUGCUAAUACCGAAUGUGCCCUUCGGGGGAAAGAUUUAUCGCCUUUAGAGCGGCCCGCGUCUGAUUAGCUAGUUGGUGAGGUAAUGGCUCACCAAGGCUACGAUCAGUAGCUGGUCUGAGAGGAUGACCAGCCACAUUGGGACUGAUACACGGCCCAAACUCCUACGGGAGGCAGCAGUGGGGAAUCCUGCGCAAUGGGCGAAAGCCUGACGCAGCCAUGCCGCGUGGAUGAUGAAGGUCUUAGGAUUGUAAAAUCCUUUCACCGGUGAAGAUAAUGACUGUAGCCGGAGAAGAAGCCCCGGCUAACUUCGUGCCAGCCGCCGCAGUAAAAC